UAUGUAAAGUUUACGACAGCAUUUUGCAAGUUGGAAAACAGUUGAAAGACCAUUUGUGAACAGGGGAAGGAUUUUCCCUCAACACCGCUUGAACAACUUUGGAAUCUGUAAACUCUAAUAAUAUUAAUUAUUAUUUGGAAGGAGAGAAUUUUAAAUGGAACAAAAAUGGGAUUGAUAGCAAGUUCAUGGACACACUGAGAAUCGAACCCAGACGGAGAAUUUACCUCUACUUUCCGAUGGUUUCCUGUAACAGACACGAAACCGCGGAUCUAAAGACGAGUUAAAACUAUGAAGUUGUGAUGUUCAUUCAUGAAGUAAAAUGUUUCCGACGGGAUUUCCUAACUGUUACUUGGACUCCGUUGCCCGAGAAGUCCAACACAUUGACCGAAUAUGUCAUUGGACUGCAGCCAUGCUGAGGAUAUCACCUUGGAAGUGUUUAACUGAAUCAGCCCCAGUACUUAUUCUACUGGUUUCUUUUGCCAGUUACAGGGAUGUAUACAAACCAAAACCAACUGUCAAGUAGUGGUGGGGGAACAAACUCACCAAGACACAUACCUAUAUAUGAUGGGUUUCCAUCUACUAAAGAGAGAAGUAAUUUGAAUGAGUUAACAGAACCUACAUAACUGGACAUUUCCCAGACUGCUUUCUACUGAAGAUGGGCCUUUGUGCCCGAAAUAUAAAGGUUUUGUAAAAUUUUCCAUACUGUCAGAAACUAUUUUCUUUUACCUUUGGUAUUAUAAUGCUUCAAGCAAACUACUAUGCUCUUAUUAACUUCUAAGUCAUUGGUUGGUCCAGGGCUACAUCAGAAGACUAUUGGCCAAGGUGCUGCGUAGCUGGGCCAAACCUGAAACCAUGUUAGUGUAGAGUAAGCUUAACCACACGGCCAUAUCUGUACCUUUGUGUCCAUGAUGUCAGUAGCUUUGAUUUUUUAUAGUAUCAGCCACAAACCCUAAUUUUCCAACAUUUAUGGCCAUGCAUACAUAAAUGUUGCUUCACUACUACAUGUAGUAAUAUUUACUGAGUAAAUAUUUCCUUUGUGAGUGAAAUUGAGUACAUGGAAACUAUGUUAAACCUGUCAGAUGGACUGCAUCUGUUCAACACCUGCUAGUUGGAAGCUUACAGCAGUCUGCUCUGUUGUAAGCAUUUGG